GAGAGAUUGUGGUGUAGUGGUUGCACUCAGGUACGUGGCACCUGAAUUACGUGGGUUCGAAUCCCACCUUUCUCU
rnacentral:tRNA from 1 species